GACGAACGCUGGCGGCGUGCUUAACACAUGCAAGUCGAACGGAAAGGCCAGGAGUUUGUGGGGUGCUCGAGUGGCGAACGGGGGAGUAACACGUGAGUAACAUGCCCUUGACUGUGGGAUAACUUCAGGAGACAGGGGCUAAUACCGGAUAGGAGAUCCUGCUGCGUGGGGGGGGAUGGAAAGAUACGGCCGUUGUGGCUUGACUGGCAGGUUAUCAGCUUGUUUGUGGGGUAGUGGCUUACCAAGGUUUUGACGGGUAGCCGGCCUUGGAGGGGGGCCGGCCUCCAUGGGCCUGCGGGACGGCCCAGUAGGCUACCUUCCGCAGCAGUGGGGAAUAUUGCAGAAUGGGCCGAAGCCUGAUGCAGCAACGCUGCGUGCGGGAUGACGGCUUUCGGGUUGUAAACCGCUUUCGCCUGUGCCGAAGCGUUCGUGACGGUAAUGGGUCAAGAAGCACCGGCUAACUACGUG
rnacentral:rRNA from 1 species